rnacentral:rRNA from 1 species
UACGAAGGGGGCUAGCGUUGUUCGGAAUUACUGGGCGUAAAGCGCAUGUAGGCGGAUCGCUAAGUCAGGGGUGAAAUCCCGAGGCUCAACCUCGGAACUGCCUUUGAUACUGGCGAUCUUGAGUCCGGGAGAGGUGAGUGGAACUCCGAGUGUAGAGGUGAAAUUCGUAGAUAUUCGGAAGAACACCAGUGGCGAAGGCGGCUCACUGGCCCGGUACUGACGCUGAGAUGCGAAAGCGUGGGGAGCAAACAGG